rnacentral:rRNA from 1 species
AAAAGGCAUCUUUUUGUUUUUAAAAGACCUUCUUACGAAGGUAUGCUUAAAGAGGGGCUUGCGCCACAUUAGUUAGUUGGUAGAGUAAAAGCCUACCAAGACGAUGAUGUGUAGCUGGACUGAGAGGUUGAACAGCCACAUUGGGACUGAGACACGGCCCAAACUCCUACGGGAGGCAGCAGUAGGGAAUUUUCGGCAAUGGAGGAAACUCUGACCGAGCAACGCCGCGUGAACGAUGAAGUAUUUCGGUAUGUAAAGUUCUUUUAUUGAAGAAGAAAAAGUAGUGGAAAAACUAUAUUGACGUUAUUCAAUGAAUAAGCCCCGGCUAACUAUGUGCCAGCAGCCGCGGUAAGACAUAGGGGGCGAGCGUUAUCCGGAAUUAUUGGGCGUAAAGGGUGCGUAGGCUGUUAGAUAAGUCUAUAAUUUAAUUUCAGUGCUUAACGCUGUCUUGUUAUAGAAACUGUCUUGACUAGAGUGAGAUAGAGGCAAGCGGAAUUCCAUGUGUAGCGGUAAAAUGUGUAAAUAUAUGGAGGAACACCAGAAGCGUAGGCGGCUUGCUGGGUCUUUACUGACGCUGAGGCACGAAAGCGUGGGUAGCAAACAGGAUUAGAUACCCUGGUAGUCCACGCCGUAAACGAUGAGUACUAAGUGUCGGGGUAAAACUCGGUACUGAAGUUAACACAUUAAGUACUCCGCCUGAGUAGUACGUACGCAAGUAUGAAACUUAAAGGAAUUGACGGGACUCCGCACAAGCGGUGGAUCAUGUUGUUUAAUUCGAAGAUACACGAAAAAUCUUACCAGGUCUUGACAUACUCUGCAAAGCUAUAGAAAUAUAGUGGAGGUUAUCAGGGAUACAGGUGGUGCAUGGUUGUCGUCAGUUCGUGUCGUGAGAUGUUAGGUUAAGUCCUAAAACGAACGCAACCCUUGUCGUUAAUUGCCAGCACAUAAUGGUGGGGACUUUAACGAGACUGCCAAUUAAACAUUGGAGGAAGGUGAGGAUUACGUCAAAUCAUCAUGCCCCUUAUGAUCUGGGCUACAAACGUGAUACAAUGGCUGUGACAAAGAGUAGCUGAAACGCGAGUUUUUAGCCAAUCUCAAAAAAGCAGUCUCAGUUCGGAUUGAAGUCUGUAACUCGACUUCAUGAAGUUGGAAUCGCUAGUAAUCGCGAAUCAGCAUGUCGCGGUGAAUACGUUCUCGGGGUUUGUACACACCGCCCGUCAAACCACGAAAGUUAGCAAUGCCCGAAAGCAGUAGCUUAACUUCGCAAGAAGAGGGAACUGUCUAAGGUAGGGUUGAUGAUUGGGGU